CCCGGGGGAUGCCAGAGCCUGACCUGCGCCCUCAGAACCUGCACUUGUGAACUGUCAAGAGAAAGAGAGAGCCUGUGCAAGCAGAGGAGGGGCAGAGAGAGAGGAGGACAGAGGAUCUGAAGCAGGUUCCGAGCUGAUAGCAGAGAGCCUGAUGCGGGGCUCAAACUCAUGAACCGUGAGAUCAUGACCUGAGCCAAAGUCAGGCGCCCUAGCUAACUGGAAUUUAAAUAAAAAGUUAAAAAAAAAAAAAGAAAGAAAGAAAAACUCCAUCAGCUUUGCUGCACUCCGCUAGAGCAAGCAGGUAAAGACCAGAGGGAAAAAGAGGCAAAGAGGUCACACCAGGGGAAGGUUGAAAGCUGCUGUUGUUAAACGUUAUUUUCAUUCUUCUAUCUUAUUUAAAAGUAGACCCUCUACCUGGGUUUCCUCUGAAGCCUGGUGGACCUCGAUUUCCUUUCUGGCCAGGGAUGACUGCGCCAGGAAAACCCGGUGGUCCUGGGAGUCCCGUCAUGCCAGUGGGUCCCCACGGCCCGGCAUCUCCCACUAUCCCUUUCCUGCCGGGGAGGCCGGGUAAGCCUGGGGCUCCCCUGUCUCCUUUGGCUCCUGCAAAGGAAAAGGUUUGGUAAGUUUCUGUAAUGGUCUUCUACUUGGAGUUACAAUUACAAUCUCUAGUAACGCAGAUGCUGUGCUUAAAAGGCGUUAAGAUUCGCAAUAUAGUUUUUGAAAGAGGCUGGUAAAAGAAAUACAGGUCUAUAAGAAACUGAGUCGAGACUAAUUUCUGCCUUAGUUCAGUCUUUUGAUUUUGUCAAAGUCACCUCACUAUUAUAUGUGUCAGUUUCUCUUUUGUUCUUUUUUCUUUUUUUUUUUGAGAGAGAGAGAGGGAAAGAAUUUUAAGCUGUCUCCAUGCCCAGCAAGGAGACUGAUGUGGAGCUCGAUCUUGUGACCUGGGGAUCAUGACCUGAGCCAAAAUCAAGAGUCAGAGACCUAACUGACUGAGCCACCCAGGUGCCCCAGUUUUUCUUACUUUAAACACCUAAUGUAGCUCAGUCUUUAAAGAUCAAGUGAGAUAAUAUACAGAUGGAAAAGUGUAGUGUAACUCUGAAGUCUUGUGUCACUAUCUGCUUCAAUUAAUAUUAUCUGAUGAACUUUAAUUACAAUGACAUUGAAUAGAGAGAAGGUUCAGAGCUAAACUUCCUGGCAUUGAUGUGUGCAUCUGAAGAGUCACACAGCUAAACCCAGACAAAGGAACAACAAAGUUGCAAUCCCUCUUCUCUCCUUUCUUCUCCCCCAUAACACAAACAAACACUAGUCUGGAAGGGAAGGUGGUGGCUGGGGGUUUGGAAUUACCAAUGAGGAUUCCCAAAAAGUCACCACUUAAUUACUAAUAUUCUUCACCUUGGAGAACCUUCAAGAAAAUUGGGCUUUGAUGUUCAUGAAUGGGAAACGUAUGAAAUGCAAAUAAUCACUCCCUCCUAUUUUUUCUCUCUGUGUUAUUCUAGAAAUAGUGAAUGGCACACAGGUAGGGGACAGGAAGAAGAAGGAUGAGGCUGCUAGCACAGGGAAGGGCUUGGGACGUUAUCGUGCAGGAAGGCAGAGUGAUGAUGAAAAUAAAAUGGAUGAAUAUUAAAAUAUUGAAUAUCUA